rnacentral:rRNA from 1 species
UUAAGAUACUAAGGGCAUACGGCGGAUGCCUUGGCGAUAUCUGCCGAAGAAGGACGCGACAAGCUGCGAAAAGCUGCGGAGAGGCGCAAAUAGCCAUUGAACCGCAGAUAUCCGAAUGGAGAAAUCCGGCAGGGCUCAUCCCCUGUCAUCCAUGUCUUAGAGCAUGAGAAGGUAAGCCGGUGAACUGAAACAUCUAAGUAGCCGGAGGAGAAGAAAUCAAACGAGAUACCCCAAGUAGCGGCGAGCGAACGGGGCAGAAGCCCAAACCGGAGAAGGAAACUUCACCGGGGUUGAGGACCGUCAGAGCUUAAGAAGAAGUUAGCCGAAACGCCUGGGAAGGCGUGCCGAAGACAGUGAGAGCCUGGUAGGCGAAAACGGAAACUUAGGAGACGGAAUCCAGAGUACCGCGGGACACGAGAAACCCCGUGGGAAGCAGGGGGGACCACCCUCCAAGGCAAAACACAGAUAUCGACCGAUAGCGCAUAGUACCAUGAGGGAAAGGUGAAAAGCACCCCGGGAGGGGAAUGAAAGAGAACCUGAAACCGUAUGUUUACAAGCAGUCGGAGACCGUAUAUAUACCAGGUCGACGGCGUGCCUAUUGAAGAAUGAACCAGCGAGUUACGAGGACCGGCAAGGUUAAGCAGGAAAUGCGGAGCCGAAGCGAAAGCGAGUCUUAAUAGGGCGAGAGUCGGAAUGCGUAGACCCGAAACCACAGUGAUCUACCCAUGUCCAGGCUGAAACACAGGUAAAAAUGUGCGGAGGGCCGAACCUAUAUCUGUUGAAAAAGGUUAGGAUGAGGUGUGGGUAGGGGUGAAAUUCCAAUCGAACGUGGAGAUAGCUGGUUCUCCCCGAAAUAGCUUUAGGGCUAGCCUCAGGUGGUGAUUACAGGCGGUAGAGCACUGAUCAGGAGAGGGACCUACCCGGUUACCAAACCCAGUCAAACUCCGAAUGGCUGUAAUCAAACCUGGGAGUCAGACUACGACUUAUAAGGGCCGUGGUCAAGAGGGAAACAGCCCAGAUCAUCAGCUAAGGUCCCAAAUGCCGUGCUAAGUGGCGAAGGAUGUGGCGUUUCAUAAACAACCAGGAUGUUGGCUCAGAAGCAGCCACCAUUCAAAGAGUGCGUAAUAGCUCACUGGUCGAGAGACGCUGCGCCGAAGAUGUCCGGGGCUCAAGCACGGAACCGAAGCUAUGGCAGAUUGCUUGCAAUCUGGGUAGGGGAGCGUUCUUAUCACGGAGAAGCGGUACCGUAAGGAGCCGUGGAGAGGUAAGAAGUGAGAAUGCUGGUAUGAGUAUCGAAAAGGCUGGUGAGAAUCCAGCCCACCGAAAGCCCGAGGGUUCCUGAGCAACGAUCGUCGUCUCAGGGUAAGUCGGGACCUAAGCCGAGGCAAAGACGCAUAGGCGAUGGAGAACAGGUUGAAAUUCCUGUACCGGAGCAGUCCGUCUGAGUGAAGGAGUGACGCAGCAGGGCACACGAGCAUGCGGUUGGAAGAGCAUGUCUAAGCCCGUAGCCCGUAUGGCAGGGAAAUCCGCCAUGCAGAAGGGUGAGAGGUGAUGGGGAGUUAAAGGCAACUUUGACGAACUCGUGAAUCCCACACUGCCAAGAAAAGCUUCUAGCAAGGAUUGAUCCGCCCGUACCGUAAACCGACACAGGUAGGCGGGGAGAGAAUCCUAAGGUGCGCGGGAAAACCCUCGUUAAGGAACUCGGCAAAUUGCAUCCGUAACUUCGGAAGAAGGAUGGCCCUGAGUAGGCGAAGAGUCAAGCACUUGGAACCGGAAAGGGCGGCAGAAAAGAGGCCCAAGCAACUGUUUACCAAAAACACAGGUGCCUGCGAAAGCGAAAGCUGACGUAUAGGUGCUGACGCCUGCCCGGUGCUGGAAGGUUAAGGAGAGAGGUUAGCGCAAGCGAAGCUUUGAACUGAAGCCCCAGUGAACGGCGGCCGUAACUAUAACGGUCCUAAGGUAGCGAAAUUCCUUGUCGGGU